CCUACGGGUGGCAGCAGUGAGGAAUAUUGGUCAAUGGGCGCGAGCCUGAACCAGCCAAGUAGCGUGAAGGAUGACUGCCCUACGGGUUGUAAACUUCUUUUAUCAAGGAAUAAAGUCAGGCACGUGUGCCUUUUUGUAUGUACUUUAUGAAUAAGGAUCGGCUAACUCCGUGCCAGCAGCCGCGGUAAUACGGAGGAUCCGAGCGUUAUCCGGAUUUAUUGGGGUUAAAGGGAGCGUAGAUGGGUUGUUAAGUCAGUUGUGAAAGUUUGGGGCGCAACCGUAGAAUUGCAGUUGAUACUGGCAGUCUUGAGUACAGUUGAGGUAGGCGGAAUGCGUGGUGUAGCGGUGAAAUGCAGAGAUAUCGCGAAGAACUCCGAUUGCGAAGGCAGCUUACUAACCUGCCACUGACAUUGAUGCUCGAAAGUGUGGGUAUCGAACAGGAUUAGAUACCCGAGUAGUC
rnacentral:rRNA from 1 species